CUCAAAGGUGAGGCCAGAAUCAAAUAUGACAGUGCAAGACAGUGCACUUGCAAGGAUGAAUUUAUGUGGAUACCACUAACUUGAAGGGAGAGUCAAAGAGGAGGAUAAGUAUUAGGAGGAGGAAAGACAAGAAGCUCAGCUUUAGAGUGAUUGAGUUUCGGAAAGCAGGAGGACAUCCAGUCAGAGAUGACAGAAAGGCAAGCAGUGACUCGUUGUAGGAUGGCAGGGGAGAGGUCAGGGGAGGAGAGAUAUAUCUGAGUGUCAUCAGCGUACAGGUGGUACUGGAAUCC